ensembl:lncRNA LGALS17A galectin 14 pseudogene
ACAGAAGACCAGAUACUAUUCUGAAGAACUACACAGAGGGAGACAACAAUGUCAUCACUAAAAGUACCACACACACGGCCUGUGUCCUUGUCUACUGGUUCUUGUGUGAUAAUCACAGGGACACCGAUCAUCCCUUUCGUCAUGGACCCACAGCUGCAGGUGGAUUUCCAUACCGAGAUGAAGGAAGACUCAGACAUCGCCUUCCAUUUCCGAGUGUACUUUGGUCAUUGGGUGGUCAUGAACAGCCGCGUGAAUGGGGCUUGGCAGUAUGAGGUGACAUGCCACAAUAUGCCCUUUCAGGAUGGUAAACCAUUUAACCUGUGCAUCUCCGUGCUGGCCGAUGAGUACCAGGUAAUGGUAAAUGGCCAAAAUGCUUACAGCUUUCCCCACCGACUCCCACCAUCUUAUGUGAAGAUGGUGCAAGUGUGGAGAGAUGUCUCCCUGACCUCAGUGUCUGUCUGUAAUUGAUGAAAUGAUCACAUUCCUCAUGGUUAAAGAAUCCCUGUUUCUGUGCGACCAUGGCAUUUCCAGAGCCUGCUAACAGAACGAUCACUCCUCACCCCUUCCUCUACACUUGGUCAUUAAAACUUCACCAAAUUUUCCA